rnacentral:piRNA from 1 species
UCGUGUUGUCCUUACUGGAAGGUGUU